rnacentral:lncRNA from 1 species
AUAAAAGAUAAUAGUAAGGAAAUAGAGCUAUUUCCCAUUAGGUUCUAGUCAUUUCUUCUGACUUAAUGCCACCAGAUUAUUUUGUUGCCAGAAUUUACUAAAUUUGAAUAAAGAUGAACAGUAUUCAUUUUGGAUGCAUCCGUAAGUAUACCAGUACUGUAUUCUAGAAACUGCAUAAAAAUGAAUUAUUUCUGCAGCUUCCUGGCCUUCUCCAGUAUUUUGUUGGUUUUAUUCACAUUUGCUUUUCCUUUUUCAAACUUGGAGGCACAAUUUCAGUCAUUGAAAAAUCAAUGCAUAUUUUGUUUCAAGAUACUUGAAACAAAAAGCACAGCUGCUAAACUUCUGUUAAACCGUAUAUGAAUGUGUAAAGCACAUGUAUUAAUGCACCUAUGUCCUUUCAGGUGGGAAUGGAGUAAACCAGUUGCUUUAUUGUUUUUAUUCAUCACAGAAAAUAUACUUAUUCCCAAGUCAUGUACCUGUGUAAAGCUUUAAGAGAAAUGUUUUCAGUAAUUUUCAUUUUCCCAAAGAAACUUAAUAUUUUGUGUAAUUGUGUGACCUGAUUGCUUUUCCUUGGAGCUUGGUUUCUUUUUUUAUGAGGCAAAUUUUCUGAAAUGAUGCAUAUUUUAACACUUGAUUCAUAUUGCCACUGUGCUGUCCUUGAACUGCCAAUGAUUUUAAUAAAAUAUCUAGUUUUUACUAUUUUUAUAUAUUUUACUUUACAGAAGAGCUGAGCCUGAUUCAAAUCAUUUUUCUAGUUUUGUACUUUUUAGUUGUUUUUUCAUUUUAGAGAUUUUUUUAAUUUUUUGUUUUGUAGUAUAUUUAUAUGUCUGAUUAUAUCAGAUUAUAUAUAUACUUGCAUACACACACACAAACACAGCACACAGCCUUGGAGACAAUCAAAUAACAACCGAAAAUGUGAAGGUAUAUAACAAUUUUUGACAAAUUUCCCUUGAAUGUUUAUUCUUUGCUUGAAACAUUUAAGACUUCAGUCACUGUGGUUUAUUUUAUUUUUCCCCUGACAGUAGUUACAGAAAUAGAAUCAGAAGUGAUUGGCAAGCGUGACCACUAUAGGUUUCAUAGAGUUAUGCUGACUUGGCCUGUUACUUGAUUCUAGGAACCAGCACAGUUAAUGAUAUUGUUAUUUCUGAUUUAUCUUUUAUUAAACGCUGUAAACCUAAAUGGAUCCUGUUGUAAGUGCCAGGUCUAGUCCAGGUAUUUAAGUUCAUGUUUCACUAUUUGCACUUUGCAUUAAGCAGUGGAUUCAUUCGCUGAUAAAAGUGGUCCAAGCAGAGAAUUUAUGCAGAAUUAAAAGUCCAUUAUGUUUACCUUUCUCCCCUCACCCAGGGGCAAGAAGCAGAAUAUGAGCUCAUUUAAUAUGAAUAUGGCCUCAAAGCUUUAGAAAGUGAUAAAGCUGUGCUUCUUUGCCUUGGUUCUACAUUGUCAUCUGGAGAGGAGAAGGGCUAUUAGAAACACCGUGUCCAACGAGACGAAGAACCAAUACAUUAUGUGGAACAUUGAAAGCUUUUCGGUUAACCCCUACCAAGACAAAUGACCAGCCUCUGCCCAGGAAAAUAGUUAUUAGCUCUGCCUUUGGUUUUCAACUUGAAGUUGCUGAAUUGCAAACAAUCCAAGUAAGAGUUGGGUGGUUAUUGAAAUACUUUUAGGCCAACUCUUGUACCAAUUCUCAUUUAAUCCAACUUGUGACUGGUUUUCUUUUUGGUACUGGGAAAAGUGUAAACAGAACAUGUAUUGAAAUACAUAUUGAAAGUAAAAAUGUUUGGGUGUCAGUUGUAUUCUCCUAGAAUGUACUUUUCUUACCUCGGCAUGUACUGUAGUCACUCAGUAUUUGUAUAUGUUGCUAGAAUUUUACAUUGUAUAGUAAGAUUUUAUUGUGUUCAUGUUUUUUAAAAAUUGUGUAUAUGUGUCUUGCUCAGAUUAUUUGGCUUAAAUAAACCACCCUUGAAGUUUGUAGAUUUUUGUCAUAAAAUGCCAGGUUUCUCAAUAUUGCAACAUUUGAGAGUGCCACUGUUGGAUUCUUCUUUUGAUUUUAUUUCCAUGGUCAGCGCCAUCCUUUUUGGAGUCUGAUUUUAGCUCCUGUUUGAUAUUAAACAACUUUAGCAGC